rnacentral:rRNA from 1 species
CAACAGCGUAUAUUAAAGUUGUUGCAGUUAAAACGCUCGUAGUCGGAUUUCGGGGCGGGCGGGCCGGUCUGCCGAUGGGUAUGCACUGGUCUGGCCGUCCUUCCUUCCGGAGACCGUGCGUGCUCUUAACUGAGUGCGCUCGGGAGACGGAUCGUUUACUUUGAAAAAAUCAGAGUGUUUCAAGCAGGCAGCUCGCUCCUGCAUGGAUUAGCAUGGGAUAAUGAAAUAGGACUUUGGUGCUAUUUUGUUGGUUUCGAACACCGAAGUAAUGAUUAACAGGGACAGUCAGGGGCACUCGUAUUCCGCCGAGAGAGGUGAAAUUCUCAGACCAGCGGAAGACGAACCACUGCGAAAGCAUUUGCCAGGGAUGUUUUCACUGA